UACGUAGGAGACGAGCGUUGUCCGGAAUUAUUGGGCGUAAAGAGCUUGUAGGCGGUUUGUCGCGUCUGCCGUGAAAUUUCGAGGCUCAACCUCGAACUUGCGGUGGGUACGGGCAGACUAGAGUGUGGUAGGGGAGACUGGAAUUCCUGGUGUAGCGGUGGAAUGCGCAGAUAUCAGGAGGAACACCGAUGGCGAAGGCAGAUCUCUGGGCCGUAACUGACGCUGAGGAGCGAAAGCGUGGGGAGCGAACAGG
rnacentral:rRNA from 1 species